GACAGAGGUGCCAAGCGUUAGGCGGAAUCACUGGGCUUAAAGCGUGUGUAGGCGGAUCGUUAAGUACCUUGUGAAAUCCCACGGCUCACCCGUGGAACCGCUGGGUAUACUGCUCUUCUUGGGCCACUCAGGGGCGACUGGAACAAGCGGUGGAGCGGUGAAAUGCGUAGAUAUCGCUUGGAACGCCGAAGGUGAAAACAGGUCGCUGGGAGUGCGCCGACGCUGAGACACGAAAGCCAGGGGAGCAAACGGG
rnacentral:rRNA from 1 species